UUCAACUACAGUCAAGUAUAAUUGAACAGUGCAGUAUCUCAAUGCAUUAUGGUUAUCUUGCACAAUAUCAAAAAAAAUGUUCCACAAUUAAACUUUAGAUGAAAUAUGCACAGUGAAUUGGUUGGAGAUGGAUCAAAAAAUUCACCCCUGAUUCAUAUGGUGGGAUUGUGCUGGCAAGAGCCUGUUGGAUAAAAAGGCCAGACUCAGGCAGUGGUUUGAACUCGGCCUGGAUUCAGCCUGGAAGCAGUCAGUCACGGAUUUGCUGCCCUCGCCGUCAAACGCUCCAUGCCCUACACCCCCUUUCCUCAAUUCCAUACCAAGCCUAGAAUAAAGAAACCUUGAUUUGAUUUUAAACUAUUAAUAAAUAUUUGUGAGAAAACGA